rnacentral:lncRNA from 1 species
GAAAAAUAUGAAAGUGAAGAGAACAUUGUUUUCUUUGCUUUCAUGGUUGUAUUUUUGAAUUGUACCAUUUUUCUUCUCCAGGCCAAGGGCAGAGUCUUCCAUUUACUUAGAGUUAUUUUUGCUGAUUUUUCAGGCCUAGCAAGAAACUAUGAGGCAGAAGAGGACGAGGAAGAAGAGCAUGACUACAGCUAUAUUGAUGAAAACAUAAUUGAAAACAUAAGAAAAGUAUUUCAUGGCACCAGCAUUAGAAAUGAGCACACAGUCUCCAAAGGAAGAAGAGACAACUGAAGGAAAAUAAUUCUGAAAUUAACUGGAAACAAGUAGGAAGCUGUGUCCUUGGCACAUCAAGAUUGACCACAACUGUAAGAAAAAGCUGCUCAUGAAAGUGUCCUUCUUGACUCAUGGAGAGCAUACAAGGCUGUAAUUUAGCUAUAAUAAUCCCCUGCAAAAUGAAACUGCUUACUUGUCCUAAAUAAGAAGUCAAACCAGCUAAUGUCUCAUGACCCUUUGAAGGGACAAAGCUCUUCUGUACAUAUUUAUUAGUGAAUUCAGAGAACAAUGCCAAGUCCAAUCCUUCAUUCUUAUUGCGCCUGAAAUUCCGGUUAUUUCCUGAACCUCUGUAGGGCAUAUGCAGAAGGAAAAUCCCUUACUGAAACAGCUGCAUGGAUAUUUCCUUUGGGUUUUGGGUUUUGGUUUUUUUUUGGUUGGUUUUUUUUUUUUUUUUUUUUUGAGAAGAAGAGGGUAAUAAAGGAUUGUCUAAGGUGGACA